ensembl:snRNA U2 U2 spliceosomal RNA
AUCGCUUCUUGGCCUUUUGGCUAAGAUCAAGUGUAAAAAUUUUUAAUGGGAAAAAAAAAACUGUAAAGCUUAUUAUCGAACAAGUAAUUGGUAUCAUCCUCAAGGAUCCUUAUUAACACAGUUCCAUGCAGUUUGAUGAAAAUGAUAGAUUAU